CGCCUUGCAGGGCAACCUGCCGGGUGAUGAGGCAGAAGUCAGCAGACGCCAUAGUAGUCUCGCCGGUGGCGUGACGAAGGGC
rfam:Freshwater sediment metagenome lwMethane_BCGO23598_x1, whole genome shotgun sequence.